rnacentral:rRNA from 1 species
GACAGCAGCACCACGGGAACACAGAGGGUGCAAGCGUUAAUCGGAAUUACUGGGCGUAAAGCGUGCGUAGGUGGUGGUUUAAGUCCGUUGUGAAAGCCCUGGGCUCAACCUGGGAAUUGCAGUGGAUACUGGGUCACUAGAGUGUGGUAGAGGAUAGUGGAAUUUCCGGUGUAGCAGUGAAAUGCGUAGAGAUCGGAAGGAACAUCUGUGGCGAAGGCGACUAUCUGGGCCAACACUGACACUGAGGCACGAAAGCGUGGGGAGCAAACAGGAUUAGAUACCCCAGUAGUCCCUGUCUCUUAUACA